rnacentral:rRNA from 1 species
UACGUAGGUCCCGAGCGUUGUCCGGAUUUAUUGGGCGUAAAGCGAGCGCAGGUGGUUUAAUAAGUCUGAUGUAAAAGGCAGUGGCUUAACCAUUGUGUGCAUUGGAAACUGUUAGACUUGAGUGCAGUAGAGGAGAGUGGAAUUCCAUGUGUAGCGGUGAAAUGCGUAGAUAUAUGGAGGAACACCGGUGGCGAAAGCGGCUCUCUGGACUGUAACUGACACUGAGGCUCGAAAGCGUGGGUAGCAAACAGG